rnacentral:rRNA from 1 species
AGUAGCUUGCUACUUUGCUGACGAGCGGCGGACGGGUGAGUAAUGCUUGGGAAUAUGCCUUUUGGUGGGGGACAACAGUUGGAAACGACUGCUAAUACCGCAUAAUGUCUACGGACCAAAGUGGGGGACCUUCGGGCCUCACGCCAAAAGAUUAGCCCAAGUGGGAUUAGCUAGUUGGUAAGGUAAUGGCUUACCAAGGCAACGAUCCCUAGCUGGUUUGAGAGGAUGAUCAGCCACACUGGGACUGAGACACGGCCCAGACUCCUACGGGAGGCAGCAGUGGGGAAUAUUGCACAAUGGGCGCAAGCCUGAUGCAGCCAUGCCGCGUGUGUGAAGAAGGCCUUCGGGUUGUAAAGCACUUUCAGUAAGGAGGAAAGGGUAGUCUUUAAUAGAGGCUAUCUGUGACGUUACUUACAGAAGAAGCACCGGCUAACUCCGUGCCAGCAGCCGCGGUAAUACGGAGGGUGCGAGCGUUAAUCGGAAUUACUGGGCGUAAAGCGUACGCAGGCGGUUUGUUAAGCGAGAUGUGAAAGCCCCGGGCUCAACCUGGGAACUGCAUUUCGAACUGGCAAACUAGAGUGUGAUAGAGGGUGGUAGAAUUUCAGGUGUAGCGGUGAAAUGCGUAGAGAUCUGAAGGAAUACCGAUGGCGAAGGCAGCCACCUGGGUCAACACUGACGCUCAUGUACGAAAGCGUGGGGAGCAAACAGGAUUAGAUACCCUGGUAGUCCACGCCGUAAACGAUGUCUACUAGAAGCUCGGAGCCUCGGUUCUGUUUUUCAAAGCUAACGCAUUAAGUAGACCGCCUGGGGAGUACGGCCGCAAGGUUAAAACUCAAAUGAAUUGACGGGGGCCCGCACAAGCGGUGGAGCAUGUGGUUUAAUUCGAUGCAACGCGAAGAACCUUACCUACACUUGACAUACAGAGAACUUACUAAAGAUAGUUUGGUGCCUUCGGGAACUCUGAUACAGGUGCUGCAUGGCUGUCGUCAGCUCGUGUUGUGAAAUGUUGGUUAAAUCCCCCAACCAACCCCACCCCCUAUCCUUAAUUGCUACCAGGUAAUCCUGAAAAAUCUAAGGAAAAUUCCGGUGAAAAACCCGGAAGAAGGUGCGGACGACGUCGAGUCUCCAUGG